AACUGCGCAUGCUCAAAUGGAGCGCAGACACGGACACAAGGUUGGGCGGAAAGCGUCCAAGAACACGUAAGUUUUGGAUCCAAGAGUGUAACACCCGGGCCCUGUGCAGCACAUAUAUCUUACCCUGUCCCGCAGUCCACAACACACGCCGGUAGCCGUCCAGCCAUCUUUUCCCGAGUUUCUGGUGUGUAUAAAGGGUAAGAUGACGUCCAGCAGGCUGUGUGAGCAAAAGAAACGAACCGGCGAGCUGUCCACAGGCGGAACCCUGAGCCCAGCCCGCAGAGUGGCGUUGCGUUGCGUUGCGUUUCCACUUUCCACUUCCGUACUCGGCGUCGAUAGACAGGCAGGAAAAGGCAAGAUGGCGGAGGCCGGCUAAAUAAAGGAAGACGCGGGCAGAGUUCUAUCGCUGUCCAUCACAGCGAGAAGAAAAUGUCACUUUAGAGUACAGUGGGAAAUAAAAAUGUUUUUAAUGUGUUAAUUUGAUUGAUUUCCUGUUACGAGAUGUUGUGUAGUACUACACUAACGUCACGAGUGUCAAAAGUAACACAAAUUUAGGGUAGUGUGCCAGCUAAAGUGCUGUGUUCGAGUGCGUUCGCAUUACUUUAUGUGUGUGUACAACAAUAAAUAAUUUCCAGCACA